UACGGGGGGAGCAAGCGUUGUUCGGAUUUACUGGGCGUAAAGGGCGCGUAGGCGGUGUGUCAAGUCAGGCGUGAAAGCCCCGGGCUCAACCUGGGAACAGCGCUUGAGACUGGCACGCUCGAGUUCGGGAGAGGAUGGUGGAAUUCCCAGUGUAGAGGUGAAAUUCGUAGAUAUUGGGAAGAACACCGAUGGGCGAAGGCAGCCAUCUGGACCGACACUGACGCUGAGGCGCGAAAGCGUGGGGAGCAAACAGG
rnacentral:rRNA from 1 species